CAUCCAUCGGACUUUGUGCUUUCUCGAAAGCGCGCUGACCGUCACGGGCUGUCACCUCYGCCUUACGGUGGACGUGCAGCCUCAGAGUAGACCGUGCGGAGUUUGCAACGACUCAACUCUUGGACCUAAACAGUCUGGGUUGACCUGUCUGCAGGCCGCAUGUGUAGGGUGCCAGUGCUCUCUGUCCCGCCUGGCGCACCUGCCUUUCACCAUU
rnacentral:misc_RNA from 1 species